UACGUAGGGUGCAAGCGUUGUCCGGAAUUAUUGGGCGUAAAGAGCUCGUAGGCGGCUUGUCGCGUCGGCUGUGAAAACCCGGGGCUCAACCCCGGGCCUGCAGUCGAUACGGGCAGGCUAGAGUCCGGUAGGGGAGACUGGAAUUCCUGGUGUAGCGGUGAAAUGCGCAGAUAUCAGGAGGAACACCGGUGGCGAAGGCGGGUCUCUGGGCCGGAACUGACGCUGAGGAGCGAAAGCGUGGGGAGCGAACAGG
rnacentral:rRNA from 1 species